GAUGAACGCUGGCGGCGUGCCUAAUACAUGCAAGUCGAACGCUUCACUUCGGUGAAGAGUGGCGAACGGGUGAGUAAUACAUAAGUAACCUGGCAUCUACAGGGGGAUAACUGAUGGAAACGUCAGCUAAGACCGCAUAGGUGUAGAGAUCGCAUGAACUCUAUAUGAAAAGUGCUACGGGACUGGUAGAUGAUGGACUUAUGGCGCAUUAGCUUGUUGGUAGGGUAACGGCCUACCAAGGCGACGAUGCGUAGCCGACCUGAGAGGGUGACCGGCCACACUGGGACUGAGACACGGCCCAGACUCCUACGGGAGGCAGCAGUAGGGAAUUUUCGGCAAUGGGGGAAGCCCUGACCGAGCAACGCCGCGUGAAGGAAGAAGUAAUUCGUUAUGUAAACUUCUGUCAUAGAGGAAGAACGGUGGAUAUAGGGAAUGAUAUCCAAGUGACGGUACUCUAUAAGAAAGCCACGGCUAACUACGUG
rnacentral:rRNA from 1 species